rnacentral:rRNA from 1 species
CAGAGGGCAGCCAAGUCGUGAGGCGGAGCUAAUCCCUUAAAGCCAUUCUCAGUUCGGAUUGUAGGCUGAAACUCGCCUACAUGAAGCUGGAGUUACUAGUAAUCGCAGAUCAGAAUGCUGCGGUGAAUGCGUUCCCGGGUCUUGUACACACCGCCCGUCACACCACGGAAGUUGGGGGCGCCCGAAGCCACUUAGCUAACCCUUUUGGGAAGCGAGUGUCGAAGGUGAAAUCAAUAACUGGGGUGAAGUCGUAACAAGGUAAC